rnacentral:rRNA from 1 species
UACGUAGGGGGCAAGCGUUGUCCGGAUUUAUUGGGCGUAAAGCGCACGCAGGCGGUUCAUUAAGUUUGGAGUGACAGUUCCUGGCUCAACCGGGAAAGUGCUUCGAACACUGGUGAACUUGAGGGCUUCAGAGGGACACGGAAUUCCGGGUGUAGCGGUGGAAUGCGUAGAGAUCCGGAGGAAGACCGGUGGCGAAGGCGGUCUGCUGGGCAGUUUCUGACACUGAGGCGCGACAGCGUGGGGAGCAAACAGG